rnacentral:snRNA from 1 species
GAGCUGGCUUCAGCAGCACAUGUACUGCAGUUAGAAUGAUACAGAGAAGGUAGCAUGGUUCCCACACAAAAUAACAAGAAAAUUGGGGAAAUGUCCCGUAUUUUA